GACGAACGCUGGCGGCGUGCCUAAUACAUGCCAGUCGAGCGAAGCGGCGGAUGGGUGUGUAACGCGUGGGUAACCUGCCCUUAAGUCUGGGAUACCAUCUGGAAACAGAUGCUCAUACCGGAUCCUACAGGAUGGUCCUGCGAUGCAUUAGCUAGUUGGUAAGGUAACGGUUUACAAGCGCGAUGAGGCAUAGCCGAGUUGAUGGACUGAUCGGCCACAUUGGGACGGAGACACGGCCCAAACGCCUACGGGAGGCAGCAGUAGGGAAUCUUCCACAAUGGACGAAAGUCUGAUGGAGCAACGCCGCGUGAGUGAAGAAGGUUUUCGGAUCGUAAAGCUCUGUUGUUGGUGAAGCGGUAAUCAACCAGAAAGGCACGGCUAACUACGUGCCAGCAGCCGCGGUAAUAC
rnacentral:rRNA from 1 species